rnacentral:rRNA from 1 species
AUUGAACGCUGGCGGAAUGCUUUACACAUGCAAGUCGAACGGCAGCACGGGGCAACCUGGUGGCGAGUGGCGAACGGGUGAGUAAUACAUCGGAACGUGCCCAAUCGUGGGGGAUAACGUAGCGAAAGUUACGCUAAUACCGCAUACGAUCUACGGAUGAAAGCGGGGGAUCGCAAGACCUCGCGCGAAUGGAGCGGCCGAUGUCAGAUUAGGUAGUUGGUGGGGUAAAGGCUCACCAAGCCGACGAUCUGUAGCUGGUCUGAGAGGACGACCAGCCACACUGGGACUGAGACACGGCCAGACUCCUACGGGAGGCAGCAGUGGGGAAUUUUGGACAAUGGGCGCAAGCCUGAUCCAGCCAUUCCGCGUGCAGGAUGAAGGCCUUCGGGUUGUAAACUGCUUUUGUACGGAACGAAACGGCUCUCUCUAAUACAGGGGGCUAAUGACGGUACCGUAAGAAUAAGCACCGGCUAACUACGUGCCAGCCGCCGCUGUAAGAC